rnacentral:rRNA from 1 species
UCGAGAAUCUUCGGCAAUGGGCGCAAGCCUGACCGAGCGACGCCGCGUGGAGGAAGAAGGCCUUCGGGUUGUAAACUCCUGUUGGGGGGGACCAAUUCAAUGAGGGAACCCCUGAGGAAGCACGGGCUAAGUUCGUGCCAGCAGCCGCGGUAAGACGAACCGUGCGAACGUUAUUCGGAAUCAUUGGGCUUAAAGAGCACGUAGGCGGCGGCGUAAGUGGGGGGUGAAAGGCUAUCGGCUCAACCGUGGCAUUGCCUCCCAAACUGCGUCGCUCGAGGAAGGUAGGGGCAGGUGGAACUUCCAGUGGAGCGGUGAAAUGUGUUGAGAUUGGAAGGAACGCCAGUGGCGAAAGCGACCUGCUGGAUCUUUACUGACGCUGAGGUGCGAAAGCUAGGGGAGCAAACGGG